ensembl:rRNA 5S_rRNA 5S ribosomal RNA
AGUCUAAGGAAUACAACCUGAAUGACCCUCAUCUUGCUUAAUCUUGAAAGCUAAGGAAGGUCUGGCCUGCUUAGUAAUUAGAUGGGAAACUGCCUAGGAAGCUUGAGUGCUGCAGAUUU